rnacentral:rRNA from 1 species
UACGUAGGGUGCGAGCGUUGUUCGGAAUUACUGGGCGUAAAGGGCUCGUAGGCGGCCAACUAAGUCGGACGUGAAAUCCCUCAGCUUAACUGGGGAACUGCGUCCGAUACUGGAUGGCUUGGAUUUGGGAGAGGGAUGCGGAAUUCCAGGUGUAGCGGUGAAAUGCGUAGAUAUCUGGAGGAACACCGGUGGCGAAGGCGGCAUCCUGGACCAAUAUUGACGCUGAGGAGCGAAAGCCAGGGGAGCAAACGGG